rnacentral:rRNA from 1 species
UACGUAGGGGGCAAGCGUUGCUCGGAUUGACUGGGCGUAAAGGGCGCGUAGGCGGUUCGUACAGUCAGACGUGAAAUUCCUGGGCUCAACCUGGGGGCUGCGUUUGAUACGUGCGGACUUGAGUGCGGAAGAGGGUCGUGGAAUUCCCAGUGUAGAGGUGAAAUGCGUAGAUAUCGGAAGGAACACCUGUGGCGAAAGCGGCUCACUGGACCAUUACUGACGCUGAGGCACGAAAGCUAGGGGAGCAAACAGG